AGAAUGGAAUUGUACAAGCUAUACCAACACUCUGUGCAUGCAUCAGUGGUAUUUUCAUUUCAUUCCUAAGUGAUCUAACUGUCAAACGACGAUGGCUGUCUAGAUUAAACGCCAGAAGAUUCUUUCAGAUACUUGGGUGUACUUUUUAUGGACUGGGUCCAGUAAUAAUGUCUUUCAUCCCAGCGGCAUACAACAAAUGGGCUGUAGUAGUCAUGUCUGUUCAAGAUGUAUUUUUGAUCGUGUUCAUCAUUGGCGGUAGUAACAUCAACACAUUCGAAAUAUCACCGGUUUUCGCUGGAGUAAUCAAUGGAAUGGCUACCACUUGCACUUCAAUCUUGUUUCUCUACUAGCAACAUACUUAUACAAAUGGGUUAUUAAUGAUCCGGAAAAUGUAGCAGAAUGGAGGUUAUCUUUUUGUAUCACUGCCAUCAUUACCAUAACUUCGGGACUAAUAUAUGGCGUUAUGGCUUCAGAUAAAAGGCAGAAUUGGGAAGGUGAAAUAGAAGUGAAUCCAAACGAAGCAAAGAGACAUAGCAUCACGAGUAUCGAGCAGGCCAUUACUAGAAUGUAGUUUUUAGAGAAAUAUUUAUUUAGGAAUAUUUUUAUUACUGUUUAUAUAUUUUACAUACCAACAGCCUAGUAUUAGCCCCUACGGCUAAUACUUUCCGAGAUACAGCCGAGAGCUAUUCUUAGUGGGACACCCUGUAUAUCGAGUAUUAAGAAAAUAAUUUUAAUACUUAAUUUAAUCAGAAUUUUUUUCAAUAAAAUAUAUAUUUAUAAUGUAAAAAAAUCAUCAUUUAUUUUUGAUGAUUUGUAAUUAUUUUGUUUUGAGUUAAUUUUUUUUAAUUUUGUGUUUUUUUGUCAAUUUUAUAAGAGGAUGAUUUAUACAUUAAUACACCAGGUGUUUCUCAAAAGUGGUUCCCCCCAUUAACUUUGUAAUUUUUUCAGAUAAUAAAACGCAAUUUGGUAUGUUA